GGGUUGUGAGGUUAAGCGACUAAGCGUACACGGUGGAUGCCCUGGCAGUCAGAGGCGAUGAAGGACGUGCUAAUCUGCGAUAAGCGUCGGUAAGGUGAUAUGAACCGUUAUAACCGGCGAUUUCCGAAUGGGGAAACCCAGUGUGUUUCGACACACUAUCAUUAACUGAAUCCAUAGGUUAAUGAGGCGAACCGGGGGAACUGAAACAUCUAAGUACCCCGAGGAAAAGAAAUCAACCGAGAUUCCCCCAGUAGCGGCGAGCGAACGGGGAGCAGCCCAGAGCCUGAAUCAGUGUGUGUGUUAGUGGAAGCGUCUGGAAAGGCGCGCGAUACAGGGUGACAGCCCCGUACACAAAAAUGCACAUGCUGUGAGCUCGAUGAGUAGGGCGGGACACGUGGUAUCCUGUCUGAAUAUGGGGGGACCAUCCUCCAAGGCUAAAUACUCCUGACUGACCGAUAGUGAACCAGUACCGUGAGGGAAAGGCGAAAAGAACCCCGGCGAGGGGAGUGAAAAAGAACCUGAAACCGUGUACGUACAAGCAGUGGGAGCACGCUUAGGCGUGUGACUGCGUACCUUUUGUAUAAUGGGUCAGCGACUUAUAUUCUGUAGCAAGGUUAACCGAAUAGGGGAGCCGAAGGGAAACCGAGUCUUAACUGGGCGUUAAGUUGCAGGGUAUAGACCCGAAACCCGGUGAUCUAGCCAUGGGCAGGUUGAAGGUUGGGUAACACUAACUGGAGGACCGAACCGACUAAUGUUGAAAAAUUAGCGGAUGACUUGUGGCUGGGGGUGAAAGGCCAAUCAAACCGGGAGAUAGCUGGUUCUCCCCGAAAGCUAUUUAGGUAGCGCCUCGUGAAUUCAUCUCCGGGGGUAGAGCACUGUUUCGGCAAGGGGGUCAUCCCGACUUACCAACCCGAUGCAAACUGCGAAUACCGGAGAAUGUUAUCACGGGAGACACACGGCGGGUGCUAACGUCCGUCGUGAAGAGGGAAACAACCCAGACCGCCAGCUAAGGUCCCAAAGUCAUGGUUAAGUGGGAAACGAUGUGGGAAGGCCCAGACAGCCAGGAUGUUGGCUUAGAAGCAGCCAUCAUUUAAAGAAAGCGUAAUAGCUCACUGGUCGAGUCGGCCUGCGCGGAAGAUGUAACGGGGCUAAACCAUGCACCGAAGCUGCGGCAGCGACGCUGAUGCGUUGUUGGGUAGGGGAGCGUUCUGUAAGCCUGCGAAGGUGUGCUGUGAGGCAUGCUGGAGGUAUCAGAAGUGCGAAUGCUGACAUAAGUAACGAUAAAGCGGGUGAAAAGCCCGCUCGCCGGAAGACCAAGGGUUCCUGUCCAACGUUAAUCGGGGCAGGGUGAGUCGACCCCUAAGGCGAGGCCGAAAGGCGUAGUCGAUGGGAAACAGGUUAAUAUUCCUGUACUUGGUGUUACUGCGAAGGGGGGACGGAGAAGGCUAUGUUGGCCGGGCGACGGUUGUCCCGGUUUAAGCGUGUAGGCUGGUUUUCCAGGCAAAUCCGGAAAAUCAAGGCUGAGGCGUGAUGACGAGGCACUACGGUGCUGAAGCAACAAAUGCCCUGCUUCCAGGAAAAGCCUCUAAGCAUCAGGUAACAUCAAAUCGUACCCCAAACCGACACAGGUGGUCAGGUAGAGAAUACCAAGGCGCUUGAGAGAACUCGGGUGAAGGAACUAGGCAAAAUGGUGCCGUAACUUCGGGAGAAGGCACGCUGAUAUGUAGGUGAAGUCCCUCGCGGAUGGAGCUGAAAUCAGUCGAAGAUACCAGCUGGCUGCAACUGUUUAUUAAAAACACAGCACUGUGCAAACACGAAAGUGGACGUAUACGGUGUGACGCCUGCCCGGUGCCGGAAGGUUAAUUGAUGGGGUUAGCCGCAAGGCGAAGCUCUUGAUCGAAGCCCCGGUAAACGGCGGCCGUAACUAUAACGGUCCUAAGGUAGCGAAAUUCCUUGUCGGGUAAGUUCCGACCUGCACGAAUGGCGUAAUGAUGGCCAGGCUGUCUCCACCCGAGACUCAGUGAAAUUGAACUCGCUGUGAAGAUGCAGUGUACCCGCGGCAAGACGGAAAGACCCCGUGAACCUUUACUAUAGCUUGACACUGAACAUUGAGCCUUGAUGUGUAGGAUAGGUGGGAGGCUUAGAAGUGUGGACGCCAGUCUGCAUGGAGCCGACCUUGAAAUACCACCCUUUAAUGUUUGAUGUUCUAACGUUGACCCGUAAUCCGGGUUGCGGACAGUGUCUGGUGGGUAGUUUGACUGGGGCGGUCUCCUCCUAAAGAGUAACGGAGGAGCACGAAGGUUGGCUAAUCCUGGUCGGACAUCAGGAGGUUAGUGCAAUGGCAUAAGCCAGCUUGACUGCGAGCGUGACGGCGCGAGCAGGUGCGAAAGCAGGUCAUAGUGAUCCGGUGGUUCUGAAUGGAAGGGCCAUCGCUCAACGGAUAAAAGGUACUCCGGGGAUAACAGGCUGAUACCGCCCAAGAGUUCAUAUCGACGGCGGUGUUUGGCACCUCGAUGUCGGCUCAUCACAUCCUGGGGCUGAAGUAGGUCCCAAGGGUAUGGCUGUUCGCCAUUUAAAGUGGUACGCGAGCUGGGUUUAGAACGUCGUGAGACAGUUCGGUCCCUAUCUGCCGUGGGCGCUGGAGAACUGAGGGGGGCUGCUCCUAGUACGAGAGGACCGGAGUGGACGCAUCACUGGUGUUCGGGUUGUCAUGCCAAUGGCACUGCCCGGUAGCUAAAUGCGGAAGAGAUAAGUGCUGAAAGCAUCUAAGCACGAAACUUGCCCCGAGAUGAGUUCUCCCUGACUCCUUGAGAGUCCUGAAGGAACGUUGAAGACGACGACGUUGAUAGGCCGGGUGUGUAAGCGCAGCGAUGCGUUGAGCUAACCGGUACUAAUGAACCGUGAGGCUUAACCUUACAACGCCGAAG
rnacentral:rRNA from 1 species